CUAACGGUCAAAAUGACCGCUUGUGGCAGUUCUAGUAGUUAUGGAAUUCUGGCACUUCUAGUGUUAACUUCAUUCUUUCAGAUGUAGAUGUUCUAAUGGUUUACAAUGACAUGUUCUCCAGUGAUUGCUAGAUCAAGUAAAGCAUGUCAUUUCAAUUA